CUUUUCUUUACAGAUAUCCUGUACAUUCCGAAGCAGCUCCCAGUCCGCACGAAGCUUACAUCACACGACACGUUAGCGGUAAAAACAAGGAUGACUACGAUAACAGCAGACGGAUGGGCUUCCUAUGGUCCUGGAACCACAUGAUAUCCAAAAAGUGGAAAUCAUCCCAGAUACCAGCUACAGGUGAUGAGGCAUUCCAAAUGAGGAUGUUAAGAGACUUCAAACAUUUCUGUGCCAAUCAAGAACAGCGGCUCAGUCAAUUCUGGGAUCAGUGUUGGGAGCUUAGGGAAAAAGCAUAUGGACUCAAUUCUUGUUAAUAAUAUAAGCCAAAACAAUACUUAUUAUUUAUGUUUAUAUAUGCACAGUGUUGUAUUACUUUCAGAACA